ensembl:lncRNA LINC02805 long intergenic non-protein coding RNA 2805
GUUCAAUUUCACCUUUAAGUUUUCUCAAAAGGAGGAGCAUUAAGAAUCAGCCACCUUAGUACAUACUUAAAGAGGAAUGGGAUCCUGUAGGUGAAGAUCAU